AACGAACGCUGGCGGCGUGUUUAAGACAUGCAAGUCGCACGGGAUAAGACAUGUAGUAAUACUUGUUUUAUUUAGUGGCGCACGGGUGAGUAACACGUGAAUUACAUGCCCUAUAGUGGGGAAUAGCCCAGGGAAACUUGGAUUAAUACCCCAUGGUAUCGAAAGAUUAAAGGUGGCCGCAAGGCUGUCGCUGUAGGGUUGGUUCGCGCCCUAUCAGCUUGUUGGUGAGGUAACGGCUCACCAAGGCAAUGACGGGUACCUGGUCUGAGAGGACGAUCAGGCACACUGGAACUGAGACACGGUCCAGACACCUACGGGUGGCAGCAGUCGAGAAUAAUUCACAAUGGGGGCAACCCUGAUGGUGCAACGCCGCGUGGAGGAUGACGGUCUUCGGAUUGUAAACUCCUGUCAUCUGGGAGAAAGACCUGACGGUAAAUAGCCGGCAGGGUUGAUAGUACCAGAAGAGGAAGGGACGGCUAACUUCGUGCCAGCAGCCGCCGUAA
rnacentral:rRNA from 1 species